UUUUGAUCGUUCCUACUAUCCAAAGCAGAUCCCGCUAUCUGUUUUUUUUUUUACCCCAGCUUCCAUGUAUGUUGGCUUUUGAUCGUUCCUACUACCCAAAGCAGAUCCCGCCAUCUGUUUUUUUUACCCCAGCAUCCAUGUAUGUUGGCUUUUGAUCGUUCCUACUACCAGACGCAGAUCCCGCUCUAUCUGUUCUUUUUCUGCGUGUGUAGCAGGCAGCCAGGCACGUCAGAUCAGCCUCCUGGAGCAGCGAUUUUCAGGAGAAGAACCUGAUUUUUGGGGGAACAUUUUCUAACAGCAUUUUUUCAUCAUUCAGACUUUUUUAAACAUUAAAUAAAAUGAAUUGAAAAUA